rnacentral:rRNA from 1 species
CCUACGGGAGGCAGCAGUGGGGGAUAUUGCACAAUGGGGGAAACCCUGAUGCAGCAACGCCGCGUGAGUGAAGAAGGUCUUCGGAUUGUAAAGCUCUGUUCUUGGUGAAGAUAAUGACGGUAGCCAAGGAGCCAGCUCCGGCUAACUACGUUCCAGCAGCCGCGGUAAUACGUAGGGAGCGAGCGUUGUCCGGAUUUACUGGGUGUAAAGGGUGCGCAGGCGGCUCUGCAAGUCAGGCGUGAAAGCUAGGGGCUCAACCCCUAAACUGCGCUUGAAACUGUGGAGCUUGAGUGAAGUAGAGGCAGGCGGAAUUCCCGGUGUAGCGGUGAAAUGCGUAGAGAUCGGGAGGAACACCAGUGGCGAAGGCGGCUUACUGGACUGUAACUGACGUUGAGGCUCGAAAGCGUGGGGAGCAAACAGGAUUAGAUACCCGAGUAGUC